rnacentral:rRNA from 1 species
UUCGCCCUUAGAGUUUGAUCCUGGCUCAGAGCGAACGCUGGCGGCAGGCUUAACACAUGCAAGUCGAGCGGGCCCUUCGGGGUCAGCGGCGGACGGGUGAGUAACGCGUGGGAACGUGCCUUCUGGUUCGGAAUAACCCUGGGAAACUAGGGCUAAUACCGGAUACGCCCUUUUGGGGAAAGGUUUACUGCCGGAAGAUCGGCCCGCGUCUGAUUAGCUAGUUGGUGGGGUAACGGCCUACCAAGGCGACGAUCAGUAGCUGGUCUGAGAGGAUGAUCAGCCACACUGGGACUGAGACACGGCCCAGACUCCUACGGGAGGCAGCAGAAGGG